rnacentral:lncRNA from 1 species
CAAGUAACGGAUGGCCUUCAGUGCCUCCUCCUUGAAGUCCUCCAACUCCCUUUGUACCCCGGCCACCUUCUGCUGUAGGAUCUCCAAGUCGGCCGGCAGAGGGAGAGAGGAAGCCAAGAAACUGAGUCAGAGAUUUGGGAGCUAGAAACACUAUCACUUGAAGUCGUUGGACCCAUCUCAUUGUGACAUCACGACCCUUCAGCCAAUCAGAAAGAAAACCCCCAGUUCACUAUUUUGCAUAUUGU